rfam:Tropilaelaps mercedesae isolate Wuxi-XJTLT scaffold0000010254, whole genome shotgun sequence.
GCUCCCGUGGCCUAAUGGAUAAGGCGCCAGCCUCCGGAGCUGGAGAUUGUGGGUUCAAGUCCCAUCGGGUGCA